CGAGCUCAGCGAGGUGCGCCGGCUCCUCGUCGCCGAGGACGCCGACGAUGCCGAGUCGCUGGAGCGGCUCACCGGGCUCGGCUUCCGCGAGCUCGUC
rnacentral:tRNA from 1 species